AUCAAACUGCUUAAUAUCUAUGCGAAUAUAACAAAAACUCACAUAAAGUAUAUUUUUGGUGCCUCCGAUAUUUCGGGCCCCAGACAGUGCCCUACUGGCUCUGGGCCAGGGGUGGCCAUGUCCAUGAGUAGAGCUCAAGCAAGUAAUAAUGGAGAGAUAGGAGAAAGUUUUAUCACGCGUUGGGAACUUGACAAACUAAAAUACAAUAUUUACAUAAAUGAUUACACUACGAAUUUGUUGUGGUCUUUUAUAAAAUCUCUUGACUAUUGGGCCGUGCAUGUAAUUAAUUUGAGAACGAUAUCAGUGUUGGACUAACUAGUAGUAAUCCGUUGGAUCAGGUGUCUCAAACCUUAACAGGUAAUUAGAUUGAUAAAAACUCAAUACCAAUCUUUUAAGUCCCAGCUGCCAAGCUUCACUCAGUUCCUUUAGUAAAUAUGUAUCCGAAGGAGAGCCGAAGCUCUGCCACAAAUAGAAAUACUUGUCUGAGUUCUCGUCUCCCAGUUCUGCAUUUUUCAGAAUGCAAAAGCGAGUUAUGUGAUAAUUAGUGAAUCUUAUCGAGGCUCCAACACGGAUAUGGAAGAUUCAGUCGUUGAAAAUGUCUCUUUCAUCACACCGGAAAGGGAAAAUGUUUCGUUUUUACUCGAAGAUUCUGCUUCAGAUGAUGAAUAUUUUCCUAUAAAGAAACCUGGCUUUUUGGGUUGAGGCAAUGCACUCUCACCACCUAACAUCAGAACCACCGAUGACAUGGUUGGCCUGUCUUCUGGUUGCAUGUUGCAACGCUAAAAGGACUUAACAUGUCAUGCGACGCAAGACUUUAUCGUUCAUAUCGAGUCUGAUGAGUGCCAUUCAUAAUCAGCUCUAAGUGUCCGCCCUUCUUACCCACAACCGCCACGCCUGAGGCACCAUGAUAUGUCACAAGAAACAAAAACACUUAAAUCGUCAGUCACAAAACAGAGAACACACAAAGUAAUGAGGAUUCAAUAGUUGAUGAGAUUUUCGGGUUCCUUUGUCAAGUCUGGAAUAAGAUAGGCUGAGAUUGUGAUUCUGGAUCAUAAAAACCCUCUACUUACUCUUUCCACUUAGUGUCUCCAGCAGUAAAUUACCGAGCUGAAACACAUCGGGAUUAUUAUUAGAGAAAUGACCACCCAUCGAAAUAUUUCUUGGUGCAUAUAGCCCACUCUAUACAAGAACAAAACAAAAUUAGGAGUAUGCUUAGUUCGAGACAGAUCCAUAUGAAAAUUCCAAAAGGACAUGUAACAGAAGAUCGCCUCCAAAAAGUCUAGCCUAUAGGCUUACCUCUCUUUUUUUCACAUAUUUUGUCUGUAAGCAUAUUUAAGCUGCUUUAAGAAAACCUCAGCAUGGGAUGCAAUAGAAUUCCACCUAGCGGAAACGGAUGAAUAUAUAAAAUAACGGGGACAUGAUCGCUUUACAAUUUGAAUGUGAGUUGUUAUGUGGUUUAAUGAAAUGUUAUCCUCUGAAACUUUUGCUCCUUCUUGAAGAGUAGUAGAUGGCUAAAGAAAUCCCCCAAAACAAUGGAAAGCGAGCGGAUACAGCUAUCGCUAUUCUCUUCGUCUUAGACGGAAUUUCUGUAACCAUGUUAAAUUCAUCAGCCAGGUCCAAAAGCAUCACCGUAUAGUCAAAACUUCAAUUAGUGUCAUCAUCACUGGAAAAAAUUAGAGAAAGAUAGCAUAAAAGCUGGGUGGGGAGUAGGGUUCUCAAAAAAGUAUAGGACGAACAUUAAAGCGGGGAAAUAGACAACAGAUUAAAAACAAUGAUUUGAUGUCAAGCACUCCUAAAUACUUAUUAAGAGAAGAAAUAAGGGUUUCACAACGAAUCAGAGCAAGCACCGGACAUAAGAUCCUGCCCGCUGUCAGGAAGCUGCCAAGUCUGAUCAGUCACCAACCACGUCAGUCAAUGCCUCCUCCUUUGACACUAGAGCUUGCAUAAGCAAUACAGACAGUUUUUCAAGCAACUUGCCUGCAUUCCUUCAACACUCCUACUUUGUUCCACCUGAGAAUUUGUGGCAUCCGGCAACUUCACACACCUCAUAUUUAAAAACAAUCAUCUGGUUUGGACGGUCAGCGGCUUAACACGCACGCAACCCGAAUAUAUCUGCAUAUUUCCAAUUCUGAGGGUUCUUUGGUUGGAAUCCUUUUAGCUGCAAACCUCUGAAACUAAUUUCACACAUUCCUUGGGCCGGAUGGAUGUACAACUGUCUUUGAACGCUGAAACAGACUUGAAAAACCAAAAAUCUAAUCUCAGGGUCUCCUGACUUGAGUAAUAGCUUCAGCUGCAGGUGAGGAGUUUGAAGAAAGAGAGGGACACAUGAUUUCAAUGACAUGACUUGAAAAAAUUGGUUCCAUUGUUUUCUGGUCUUGGAGUUGUUGUUAUAUCUAUAUGCUACUGCUACUACUGCACUCGGCAAAUAUGAAGUUAGCAGAUUUAGAUAAAUUUUGCCAGAGAAAAUAAACAUAAGAACAAGAUUAAUAAACACAAGCAGUGAGCCCGCGCGUCUGUUUUUCAAACUGUCUUAAAAUGUAAAAAGUAGGGCAUAUAUACGUGAGAACAUAUGUGCAGAAGGGUUAUAUAUAUAGAUGGAGAAAGUGAGGAUGCUGAUAUGGCACACGUUAAAGAGACAAAAUUGCUAAAAAACCUCUGCAAAUCACUUGCAGCAUGUUUUUCAAUUGCCCAUUCUUGUGAUUUUAUUAAUUUUUUGUUCUAAUUAAAAAAACCGGAAAUUGACAAAAUCAUUUGAAAACCCCUCCCUAAGCAAAAUAAUUAACUAAUGAUCGAGAAACAAACUUUGUUCAAGGCAAUCGAUCAGAUCUCGCCUUGCAUUGCUGGUUCCAACACAGCACUCUGUACACAAAAUCCCAAAAAAAAAAUCAAUAAGUAAACCUACUGAAUAAAACUCAAUGAGGUAACCUACUUAACAAACCUAAUUACAUGCUUAAAACUCAAAAAUUCAAAAUUGUUUAGAAAAAGUUUCGAUUCAGACCUUAUUUCAAAACAUCUCUUCUGUUCUUCUCAGGCUGCGGACAAACCCUCCACCAAAACUGAUUUACAGCAUCUGUUUCUAGCCAUCAUUAUGAGUCAAUUUGGAGAUUUAUAAAGAUCUCGAGAAUUAAUGAAAAUUCAGAUAAAAAAAAUCAUAUCAAAGAACCCAUAACUUCAAAAAAAGAUUGUUCCUAAACCAGCAAAUUUAAAAAGAAUCCUAAAAAAAAAAAAAAAAGGUAAAUCGAUCCGAUAUAAGACAUGAGUAAAUUAAUUUCAUAAAUAUGAUCAUAAGCAUGCGAUUCUAAUACUGCUGUUUGUAUGAACAGUAAAUUGAUUCGAUUAGCUUUAAAACUCAACCAUUGCCACAAAUUCACAACCUAGCAAAUUGAGGGUUUGUAAGAGACCUUCGCCGAACCCAAAAAGGUCGGAAGGCCUGAAACCGGUCGGAGAAACUCAGAUAGUCGUCGGAAAAAAAACACCGCGGCUGGUUAUAUGGAACUCCUCGGUUUAGGGGGAUUCGAGCAUGCAAAACCUUGCAAAAGUUACAGAUAUCACACACGACACACAACCUUAGACAAGCCUCCAGCUUUAAGGGCAUUAUAUGCAGAGUAUACAGUUUCCUUCAAUAUUCAUCUUAAAAUGAACUAAUAUUGAACAUGCAAUACCUUAACGUAUCUCCUAAGAGUGAGAGAAGUUGUUUCCAGGUAACGGAGGGGCCCAAUUCGCCGGCGAUCGGCAGGAAUUUCGGUCGUGGUUGGGAGGCGUGGUGAGUUGCGCGCGGAAGGGAAGAGAGAAGGAAGACGACAAGAGAAACAGAAACAAACAUGGCAUAGAACGUGAAUAAAGAAAUUAGUGAGGGUAAAACCGGAACAGUGUUUCAAGGCAAAAUGGAUUUUAGGGCAUUCACCAGGAACCCCAAUUCCGGUGACUUUUGGCCCACCUUGGCCCCACUAGUUGAGCUAAAAUUGAAUUAUUAGGGGAUUUUGAACUUAAAAGGAUUUUUCACCAUUAAAUUUCAUCAAAGCUUACACUAAUCAAGAUUUAACGGUUAAAACUACUAAAGUAGAUAUUUAUCGUUCCCGUGAUACUCUAAUUUGGAGAAUGGCUAUGUAUCUUGAGAAUGAAUUUCAUAUUGAUAAGUUGAGGGAUGUUGCAUGUGCUUAUAGUUAGUUGGACUACUCCUUAUAUUACCAAUUAAUUUUAUGGUGGAAUCUCAACUUUCUUCAAUGUACACCCUUAAGACGUUAUGGUUGGUUGGUAAAACCAAAACUACAGUAUCACUUAAGACGUUAUGGUUGGUUGGUAAAACCAAUACUACAGUAUCAUUUAAGACGUUAUGGUUGGUUGGUAAAACCAAUACUACAGUAUCAUGUAUUUUUUUUAUCUCAUAUAAUAUCUUAUUAUAGAUGUAAAACGCCACGAUCGAUUGAAAGGUGCAUGCAAAAUGUUAUAAUUUUAAGAAGAAACAACUGCAGAUGCGCCCUGUGUCCCAUUAAGGCCAUUAAGAUUAUGUCAUCUGGCAUCAAUGCCAAGGAUUUGAGUGUCUCGUGUUGUGAAACCCUAGAGCAACUCCACUCAUGGAGUUUGCUCGGGGGACAGGCUCCAGGAAAGGGCCCGAGGGUCAGUGGGAGGAGGUCCAGCGUUGAAGGACCCGAGUGAGGGUGGGAGCCCGAGUUGCAGGCUUGUGGAAAAUUGAUAGGCUUGCUGCCCGAGGGGGGAGGGGUCAUGCUGACGCAAGGGAGAAAAAAAAAACCAUUUUUUGUGUCAGGCUGGGUCCGGUUUUUUUAAUUUUUUUUUAUCUAUAUGCAUUAUUUUCACUUUUUCUAUGAUAGGUGUUGUAUUACAGGAAGAAAAAAAAAACAUUUUUUGUUUUCAUCAUUACUUUCUUGGCAAAAGAAUUAAAGAUAUUAUUUUUAGAUACAAUGACACGUGGCGCAACGAGAAUGAUUUAAAAAAUUUUAUUCGAAAUUACAAAUAAUUUUAUUUUGUAUUAUUUAAACAAACAAAAAAACUAAUAUUUUAUUGCCUAUUGCCAGGGGGAGGGCUCCAAUGGUGGAGAUGCAAAUGACAAUUACUGUUCAUUAAGGGCAGUUACUAUUCAUUAAAGGCAGUUACUGUUCAAUAGGAUGGAUUCAAUAGUGGAUUGCCAGGGGGGAUGGCUCUAUGGGUGGAGUUGCUCUUAAGUGACAAGUCCUUGCUACUAAGGAUAUGGAUUGUCUACCCUCCUCUCAUACCCUUUUAUUUUUGUAGUCAUAGUUAAGUCACGUCAACAUUUUAUAUUCAAAUUGUUUUUUGUCUUAUUAUUUUUAUAAAAAAAAAUUCAAUAUAAAAUGUUAACGUGAUUUAAUUACAAAAUAUAAGAUAACAUAGAAAGAGUAGGAGAUGGAGAGAGCAGACAAUCGAAGUUUUACUACUAAAAGUUUUGCUACUAAACCCUAUUGAUGGCAUUAGUCUAAAGUGCUCAAUUAUCCAAAAUAAAAGAAAGAAGGGUAGGUACAUGUUACUUUCAGAGCAGUCCGAUAGCAUUAAAUGUCAGGGUGUUUCCACUGGCUUUUUGACUAAUACAAAUAAAUCAAACUUGUCCACGUUCAAUUCGUCACCGUUUUUUUUUUUUAAUAUAGGUCAGGUUGGCAUUGUUGGAAAAAUAUUAGGCUUCUAGAAAAUCCUUUUUUAUUUUUAAGAAAGAAAAAAAAUGAUAUUAGGCUUCUAGAAAAUCUUGAUGAUACAUUUGUCAGAUAUUCAAAGAGAUGAUUCAUUGACACACUUAUAAUUUACAUGAUAUUGUCCUUCAACUUGCAUAUUGCCAAUUGUACAUAACAUCAAGUGUGGUAGUUUUACACAAAGGACAAGGAUUGUCUGCCCUCUCGUGUCAUUCUGUUUUGUGUAAUCACAAUUAAGUCACGUCAACAUUUUAUAUUUUUAUAAAGAUAAUAAGACAAAAAUGAAUAGUAAUAUAAAAUGUUAACGUGGCUUAACUGUGAUCACACAAACAGGAGGGUACGGGAGGGUACCAGAAGUGGUAGGGCAACCAAUCCUUGUCCUUACACAAAAGGUUUGGACAACUUUAGAAGCAGAACCAAACAGUUAUAUAUUGUAUUUUAUUUUUAUAAAAUUUUUGAUGUGGGACAUAUAUUCAACGCGCUUCGUUACAUAGGACUACUACAUAGUGUGCCAAAUAUGCAAUCAAUCAUUAAGUGCGAAAGCAUGGUGUUACAUUAAACUCAAUAACUCGGACGCAACAUGGACCUUUAGGAACCACAAUCAAACCCACUAUGAUACCGUAUCAGAUAAACAAAGAAGCGGAUCAUUGGCCAUUUCUAACCACACUGAUAGUGUCAUCCAACUUGCAAUUUGUCAUUUACUAAGAAAUUUUAAAAUGACAGAAAUUGAAAUUAUGAGAUUUUAUUUUUUUAAAUUUGUGAAUUUUCUUAUUUGGUUAAUCUAAAAGAACAACGGAAUUCAAUACAAAAUUUGUUAAUUUUAAACUCUCAAUCAUAGAAAUUGGGAAAUGACACCUAUUUACAUGGAAUUUAAACUUGAGAAUUGAAGGUCCCAAAUUCCAAGUUUUGUAUCCAUGCAGAAAUUCUAAAUUUCUAUGGUUAUGAAUCCAAAUAAGGGAAUUGAUGUAUGUCAAUUUAUAAAUUCUGACUUUUACCUAAAUUUCAAGUUUAUUUCCCUCAUCCAAACAUAGUGUUAGGGGUGAUUCCAAAUUGAUCAUAACAUUUUAAAACACUCCAAAUAACUAACGUUUUGAAAAAUGGACAUCUGUUAGGUUUAUUAAUAUUAAAUGAUGACAUGGACAUAUAUUAAAGCUUGUUUUAACUUGCAAGUCAUCAAUGUAGUUUUGAAUCUCCUAAUUUUUCUAUUUUUAGCCAAGCAAAGUUACUAUUUAAUUUGGCUAAAAGGGGUCGAUUUGGGAGAUUAGAGCUCCAAAGACAAUGAUUUGUGAAAACCAACUUUGAUAUUUGUCCGCAUCAUCAAUUAUUCAAUUCGGUUUUGAAAAAAAAAAAAGAAUCAGAAUAUGACAAAAUCCUACUUUGGAAAUGGAAAAGAAAAGGUGUGACAUUAAGUGAAAUUCUCAUCCCUCCAACAGUUGAUAAUAGUUUGAUAUUUGAUUGUAUGAUGCCAUUUAAUUAGAUUUGGUCAAUUUAUUAUGGUAAAAUUAUGUCACUACUAAUUUGUUGUGGCCUUUUAUAUAAAAUCUCAUGACUAUUGGGCCAUGCAUAUAAUUAAUUUGAGGACGAUAUCAGUGUUGGACUAACUAGUAGUAAUCCGUUGGAUCAGGUGUCUGAAACCUAAACAGGUAAUUGAUAAAAACUCAUGACCAAUCUUUUAAGUCCCAGCUGCCAAGCUUCGCUCAGUUCCUUUAGUAAAUAGGUAUCUGAAGGAUAGCCAAAGCUCUGCCACAAAUAGAAAUAGUUGUCUGAGUUCUCGUCUCCCAGUUCUGCAUU
rnacentral:lncRNA from 1 species